rnacentral:rRNA from 1 species
AAAUUGAAGAGUUUGAUCAUGGCUCAGAUUGAACGCUGGCGGCAGGCCUAACACAUGCAAGUCGAACGGUAGCACAGAGAGCUUGCUCUCGGGUGACGAGUGGCGGACGGGUGAGUAAUGUCUGGGAAACUGCCUGAUGGAGGGGGAUAACUACUGGAAACGGUGGCUAAUACCGCAUAACGUCGCAAGACCAAAGAGGGGGACCUUCGGGCCUCUUGCCAUCAGAUGUGCCCAGAUGGGAUUAGCUUGUUGGUGAGGUAACGGCUCACCAAGGCGACGAUCCCUAGCUGGUCUGAGAGGAUGACCAGCCACACUGGAACUGAGACACGGUCCAGACUCCUACGGGAGGCAGCAGUGGGGAAUAUUGCACAAUGGGCGCAAGCCUGAUGCAGCCAUGCCGCGUGUAUGAAGAAGGCCUUCGGGUUGUAAAGUACUUUCAGCGGGGAGGAAGGUGUUGUGGUUAAUAACCGCAGCAAUUGACGUUACCCGCAGAAGAAGCACCGGCUAACUCCGUGCCAGCAGCCGCGGUAAUACGGAGGG